AUACUAGGUUAGUGCAAAAGUAAUUGUGGUUUUUGCCAUUGCUUUCAAUGGCAAAAAUUGAAAUUGCUUUUGCACCAAUCUAAUAAUAAAUCUUUUAGAGGAAAAA
rnacentral:miRNA from 1 species